rnacentral:rRNA from 1 species
UACGAAGGGGGCUAGCGUUGUUCGGAAUCACUGGGCGUAAAGCGCACGUAGGCGGAUUUUUAAGUCAGGGGUGAAAUCCCGAGGCUCAACCUCGGAACUGCCUUUGAUACUGGGAAUCUGGAGUCCGGGAGGGGUGAGCGGAACUGCGAGUGUAGAGGUGAAAUUCGUAGAUAUUCGCAAGAACACCAGUGGCGAAGGCGGCUCACUGGCCCGGAACUGACGCUGAGGUGCGAAAGCGUGGGGAGCAAACAGG